GCUGUGGGGGGAUCGGGGGGAGAGGCGGGGUCACCGCGGCCACCAGUCCGUCACCCACCCCUCGCCAGGUGCGGGAGCUCUGGCCCCGUGGGAUGGCACGCCCCGCCCUCAAGUUCCACGCUCUGAGCCACCUAACUGGUCGUCACUUGCCAUGGUAACCCUAGGAAACUAACACGGUCUGUUACAUACGCACCUUCCGUGCAGGUGGUGGAAAGUUCUCGAGCGAUACAGAAGAGCGAAAAGAAGUGAAAUGACCCUCUCCCUGCUUCCCUGCCUCCUGGACUUAGCAUUCGCCUAACAUCCACGGGGGACUCGACAACUGGGUGCUGUGCUGGGUGUUUUCACCCACUCCACGUAGCGGCUCAUCUGUGCGUCGGGGGGACGAACAUGCACACACGCGUGGGAUCCACACACGGAGACCUGCACGUCCGUCCUGAAACCAGAAACGGAAUCAUAGGCGAAGUAGUGCUUAAGAACAGCUGCGUUUUCCACCCAACACCAGCCCUUGGUCAUCUGUCCAUGAUGCCCUCCAUCCCUAAACUCCGCACAAAGGCAGUGGAAUGCACACACACACACCCCCCACAAACACAAAGAGCAAGAGAAAGGAAGAAAUCGGCCCCUUGGGGAGCCAACCCUAAAUCCUCAUUAACUGGAACUGCCCGGGAAUGGAUCAUGAAAGAAACCUAUUAAGCCGUGAAGCGUCUAAACAAAA